UGAUUAUGUUAUUAUUAUACCAUAAUUUCUAGUCCACAGGGAACUCAAAUCAAUAACAGAUGAUGGAUGAUAUCACAGUUCUACGAUGAAAAAAAAAUGGAUGUCAUCUGGUGUCAUCUUUCUUAAGCACCGUUAUGAUUAACAUAAUCUUAUUAUCUCCGUAACAAUACUUUCGUCAAUUUACACAGUGCAGAUUGUUCAUCUUGUAGGCGAAAAUCAGAGAGCACGUCUAAUUGUGCAUACUUCUUUGUUGUUAUAUACUAAAAAAGUGAUUACUACCAGAAACAAUUGAGUUACUUGGCAAUUCAAUCAGUUUCUACCAGAUACCACACUUUACGUGCUAUUGAAAUUAUCACAACGAUUUCAUGUCCCUUUAAAUAGAGAUUACUUCUCUAUAUAUGAAACUUUGCCCUUAUAUUUCAAAAUAUUUCUGUCUGAGAAAGCAAAUUUCAUUAUUCCCAUACACACUAUUUUUAUUUAUACAAACAUAAGCACUUUUUAAACAAAUUUAAUUGUACUUUUAUUUAAUUGUUUUUCUGUAAGUUAGACUUCAAGUGGUCUUACACUCCAAUUUGAUUACUGCACUCUACUUUAACUGUCAAGGAUGUUUUUUCCCCUCUUGAAUUAUUUAAAUUAUUGACGCAGCUGAAAUCUUUAAAUUAGAGAAAUGACGAACAGAAUUCAUGUCAGGCUGUACUUGAAAAAUAAAAGCAACAGAAAUAAAUUCUAUCAAACUGUCUUAAUAAGUUGGGGAGUUUCUAUUUCUAACUUAUUAUUAAAAUAUAAGGGGGUGGGAUAUUUUUAUGUUACUUGGUUUAAUAUCUGUUUUAAUUAUUGUUUUAAUUUGAUAGUUUUUUAGUUUUUAAAUAUAUACUGAUUGACAAAUAAAUGGUUUACUAUUUGAAAAUAGGUAACUUUGAUUUGAGAAAGUAAAGUGUCGUUUAGAUGAUAAUACAGUACAAGAUUUGGGGGAAAAAAGAGAAUCAAAACAUAUCCCAUUUCAUUUUUUGGUAAAGCGUAUUUUUGAAAAUUGUAAUGAAUACAAAGGAGAAGGUUCACGAAUGGUUAAAAUUGGCCCUGUUAUUUUUAUGUUUUUUAAAUUGGGACAAAAAAUUACAAAUGUCACAUAGAAAUACUUGUGAUAAUACUACUAAGACAAAAAUAUUUUGUCUGGCACUUUCCUUUACUAUUUAUGGAGCAAUGACC
rnacentral:lncRNA from 1 species